rnacentral:rRNA from 1 species
UGAGGAAUAUUGGACAAUGGGCGCAAGCCUGAUCCAGCCAUGCCGCGUGCAGGAUGACGGUCCUAUGGAUUGUAAACUGCUUUUGUACAGGAAGAAACAGUUCUACGUGUAGAACCUUGACGGUACUGUAAGAAUAAGGAUCGGCUAACUCCGUGCCAGCAGCCGCGGUAAUACGGAGGAUCCAAGCGUUAUCCGGAAUCAUUGGGUUUAAAGGGUCCGUAGGCGGUUAGAUAAGUCAGUGGUGAAAGCCCAUCGCUCAACGGUGGAACGGCCAUUGAUACUGUCUGACUUGAAUUAUUAGGAAGUAACUAGAAUAUGUAGUGUAGCGGUGAAAUGCUUAGAGAUUACAUGGAAUACCAAUUGCGAAGGCAGGUUACUACUAGUGGAUUGACGCUGAUGGACGAAAGCGUGGGUAGCGAACAGGAUUAGAUACCCAUGUAGUCCCUGAGCGGGCUGGCAAGGCGCAU